GAUUGCUGUUGGUUCUUGGUGCCGCCUGGCACUGCUGCCCUGAUAGUCGGCUCUGAGUUGGAGGCCAGCUUCCAUGGCAGCAUCGUCAGUGGGCGCGCAGGGUGCGUCUGACUUGG
rnacentral:precursor_RNA from 8 species